rnacentral:snRNA from 1 species
AUAUCUUUCUCAGCCUUUUGGCUAAGAUCAAGUGUAUUAUAUGUUCUUAUCAGUUUAUAAUAUGUGAUAUGUGGGCCAUGUACCAACAAUGAUCUUAAAUUUAUGUUUUGUGGGAGAUGAUCCACCACAC